rnacentral:rRNA from 1 species
GAUGAACGCUGACAGAAUGCUUAACACAUGCAAGUCUUUGGCGAAGCUGUGCUUGCACAGCCUAGCCAAGGCGGACGGGUGAGUAACGCGUAAGGAACUUGCCCUGCAGUCAGGGAUAACAGACGGAAACGACUGAUAGGACCUGGUAAAGUCAGGCGGACUCAUGUCCAGCCUGAUGAAAAGAGAUGCUGCAGGAGAGCCUUGCGUCCUAUUAGCUUGUUGGUGGGGUAACGGCCCACCAAGGCGAUGAUAGGUAGCCGGCCUGAGAGGGUGGACGGCCACAAGGGGACUGAGAUACGGCCCUUACUCCUACGGGAGGCAGCAGUGGGGAAUAUUGGACAAUGGGGGCGACCCUGAUCCAGCAAUUCUGUGUGCACGAUGAAGGUUUUCGGAUUGUAAAGUGCUUUCAGCAGGGAAGAAAAAAAUGACGGUACCUGCAGAAGAAGCGACGGCUAAAUACGUG